GAUCAUUAAAAUUUAUUGUUUACAUUGUUUUUGAAGCAAACUUAAAAAACCUUUAAAUUUCAAUUUCUUUAAAAAUCAAAACUUUCAACAACGGAUCUCUUGGUUCUCGCAUCGAUGAAGAACGCAGCGAAUUGCGAUACGUAUCAUGACUUGCAGACGUGAAUCAUCAAUCUUUGAACGCACAUUGCGCCUUGAGGUAUUCCUCAAGGCAUGCCUGUUUGAGCGUCGGCUCCCUUCAAACCCCCGGGUUUGGUGUUGCCUUCCGAAAUAUCACAGUUGUUGCAAUACGUUACUUCAACUUUAUUCUUUCGCCCUCAAAUCAGGUAGGACUACCCGCUGAACUUAAGCAUAUCAAUAAGCGGAGGAA
rnacentral:rRNA from 1 species